rnacentral:tRNA from 1 species
GGCGGCAUCGAUUAUCGGUAGGUCGCUGGGUUCUCAGCUCAGAGAGCAGGGUUCGAUUCCCUGUGCCGCUACCA